ACCAUACUCUAUUAGUAUAGACCCCUUUGUACUCAUAACUUUUUUAUCGUUAGAUCUAUACUUUUGACCAUUUCCAUCCGUAAAUCAUACAAUUCAACCAACCACCCACUCAAUCCUAGGGGACCACUAUUAUCCUAAUUGCACAUCCAAUGACGAAAAAUUUAUAAGCAUAAAGGGGUCUAUACUCAUAAGAAUAUAGUAGCCCUAGCCUAUAUAUAUAGAAUUAGGUUACAAUAUUAUUAAUAGUAUCAACUACUUGCUAUUAGGUUUUCGGCCCUUAGAUGAAGGGAUGUGUGGUCAGGAUGAUAGUAGCCCCAUAGAGUUGAGGAGGUGGGUAAUUGAAUAGUAAGAUCUAACGGAUGAAAAUGACCAAAGGGGUAAAUCUAACGGCAGAAAGUUCGAUAGCACAAACGAUAGGAUAGUAACCGAACUCUAUAUUUAUAGGUAGAUCUAACGGCAGAAAACUCGAUAGCACAAAACAAUUAGUACUAUAGAUAGUAUAAUAGCCGGACUAUAUAUAUAGAGAGAGAGUUCGGCUAGUAUAUUAUCGAUAAUACUAAAUGCUUAGUGCUGUCGAAUUUUGUGCCGUUAGAUCUAUCCGUUUGACCAGUUUCACUCAAUAGAUCAUACUAUUCAGCUAACCACCCACUCAACUCUAGGAAAUCACUAUCAUCCUAACAGCACAUCCCUUCAUCCAAGAGUUGAAGACCUAAUAGCAAGUGGUUGGUACUAUUAAUAAUAUAGUAUACUUUUUCUAUAUAUAUAUAUAUAUA
rnacentral:lncRNA from 1 species